AUUGAACGCUGGCGGCAGGCCUAACACAUGCAAGUCGAGCGAGCGGCGGACGGGUGAGUAUUGUCUGGGAAACUGCCCGAUGGAGGGGGAUAACUACUGUAAAAGGUAUCUCAUACCGCAUACCAUCGGAUGUGCCCAGAGGGGGUUAUCUAGUAGGGGGGGUAAAGGCUAACCUAGGCGACGAUCCCUGGCUGGUCUGAGAGGAUGACCAGCCACACUGGAAAUGAGACAGGGUCCAGACUCCUACGGGAGGCAGCAGUGGGGAAUAUUGCACAAGGGGCGCAAGCCUGAUGCAGCAAUGCCGCGUGUAUGAAGAAGGCCUUCGGGUUGUAAAGUACUUUCAGCGGGGAGGCGUUACCCGCAGAAGAAGCACCGGCUAACUCCGUGCCAGCAGCCGCGGUAAUUC
rnacentral:rRNA from 1 species